AACGAACGCUGGCGGCGCGCCUAAUACAUGCAAGUCGAGCGAGAAGACGUAGCAAUACGUUUGUAAAGCGGCGAACGGGUGAGGAAUACAUGGGUAACCUACCCUCGAGUGGGGAAUAACUAGCCGAAAGGUUAGCUAAUACCGCAUACGACUCUCGGUCUGCGGAUCGAGAGGGAAAGCGAUACCGUGGGUAUCGCGCUCCUGGAUGGGCUCAUGUCCUAUCAGCUUGUUGGUGAGGUAACGGCUCACCAAGGCUUCGACGGGUAGCUGGUCUGAGAGGGCGAUCAGCCACACUGGCACUGCGACACGGGCCAGACUCCUACGGGAGGCAGCAGUAAGGAAUAUUGCGCAAUGGGCGACAGCCUGACGCAGCGACGCCGCGUGGGGGAUGAAGGUCUUCGGAUUGUAAACCCCUUUCGGCAGGGAAGAUGGAGCGGGUAACCGCUCGGACGGUACCUGCAGAAGCAGCCACGGCUAACUUCGUGCCAGCAGCCGCCGUAACAC
rnacentral:rRNA from 1 species